UUCUCAACAGGCUUUCUGACAGCAAAUGAAAAGUAGAGCUCAGAAGUAUAUCAUACAUAAAACAGUAUAGAAAUGACAGCAACCUUUUUAGCUGCACUGUGGUAACUAGCUACUCCUUUAGAGAUGCUGCAGGGAGAAGACAGGAAGAAUGCCAAGAGACACUUAUUUACAGCAAGACUAGGGAGUGGAGGGAGAGAAGUGAUGAAAAAAAUGGGGAAAUAUUGUUGCAGUGCAAAGGAAUUACAAGAUUCCUGACCUGUACUGUGUUCAUAGUAGGAAUGCUGAUUAUGGUGACAAGAUAAGAUCAACUGGCUCAUCAUCAGAGAGAUACUUCUUCAUUGUUAGUGAGUGGAGUGAGGCCAGAGAAGCAGCAGAGCUGAUGGAAGAGAAGAGUGGCUGCGAUUGCUGGAAACAAAAAGAAGAAAAGAGGUAGAUGGCAAGGAGAUAAUAGGACAUCCACCUUUUAGAGGUGGAGGGCAUUUGGAUUGUAACAUGCAUUUUAAUUGUAACAUGCAACUCCCCCUGAAGAAAAUAUGCAUAAAGAUAAGGCAGUGGCCUCAUCAAAAUGGUACAGUUCCACAGGCAAGCAGGGCAGGCGUG
rnacentral:lncRNA from 1 species